UUCUGCUUCUCCUCCCUGAGCGGUGCCUGUCGUUAUUCGAUUAGGCUGUUCGCCCGCCAUACUGCGGCGGGUUUUUUAU
rnacentral:ncRNA from 1 species